GUUUUGUUGUUGUUGUUUUGUUUCUUAAUAUAACAGGUAAGUAGAUGAUGAACUUUCUCAUAGAGAUAAAGUAUAAGAUCCAAAAAAAAAGAAUACGAUUAAUGAAGAUUAAAAUGGAAAAUUAACACUUAGUUUGAAUCAGGAUGGGUGUACACAACUUUGAAACCAUUUUCUUCUUUUCUAUGUCUUGAAUUUGUACUUGAAUGUGAAUGUGCGGCUUUACAAAACUGAUUGUCUGGUCAGAAGUAGAGCUCUGUAAACCUUUGCACUUGCCUGAAUAUACGAAGUAUUGCUUUGCUAUAAUUUUUUAAGAUCUUUUUUUCUGACAAAUUGAAGCCAUACUUACUCUGUGUUCUUCUCAACCCAUGGUAUGUCUCAUCUUUAUAGGACACGACAGUAAAGCUCUGUUUUAUGUUUUAAUCCAAUGUUUUUUUUGGCCUUUGUAUUUUAACUGAGACCUAAUCAGGUUAACUGCAGGCUUUGAAAGCCUGUUUUGUCUUUGAGUGCCUAAUUUGGCAUAUCUGUGUCUGACGACGGCCGCCUGGUAGCCUCUUCAAAGCACGUUCCAAAUCAAAUGCAAGUUAUAUUUUCACGUCAGUUUUUCUAAACGGUUAAAAAUAAGCCGAUUGUUUUAUCACAGGAACUCACUUUUCUGAGAUGAUGUUCCUCUUGGUGUCUGUUCCAUGACACACCCAAGUGGGUUUUGUUCUUAGCUUUUGAGUUUUUGUUUUGUUUUUUCUUUUUCUUUGGUGGUGGUGGUGGGAGGAGCCUUAGGUGGAAGCAUGCGUAAAGAAACCAUCUUGUAGUUUGCUAUUGUUGAGCAAAGUUCAACUAAAGGAGUAUUUGGCGCAUUUAAAUGUAACCAGAAAGGAUCCUGAUGGUCAGUAUUUCACACGAGACUGCAAAGAAGAAAAACUGCAGAAAGAUAUUAUGGUCACAAUUCUUCUCAAUUUUCCUGCUGUUUGACUUUUUCAUAUUGGCAACUGUCUUUUAUAAGGUCAGCUGCAAAUAGUGUCUAUGAACGCCAUUGUAGGCAUGAUCACCACCUGCAAGUUUUAAAUAUCAAUGCAGGCUGCAUGCUACCUGGCUCGUGCCAAAACAGCAAUUUUACAACCGUUUUAAUGAGUGAAAUAAUAAUAAUAUUAAAAAAUAUAAUAAGAAAAGAUAAGAUAAAACUUUAUCAGUCCCAGUGGGAAAUUUGCUGGGUCGCAGCAGAAAGUGGACAGAGCAGCAAAAGUUAAGAAAAAAACAAUAGAAUAGAUUAAAAUAAAACAGAAUAAAAAUACUAUGUCACAGACAGUGUGGAAAAUAAAAAGUUCAAUGUCCAGUCGAAAGAAUGAACAGCAUCAAAUCUGGGAAUAUAAAUAUGGAUCUGUAAUGUAAAAAUAUACACAUA
ensembl:lncRNA